rnacentral:rRNA from 1 species
GUGCAGGAAGAAGGCGCUACGCGUUGUAAACUGCUUUUAACCGGGAAGAAACCCCAGGACGUGUCCUGGGUUGACGGUACCGGAGGAAUAAGCACCGGCUAACUUCGUGCCAGCAGCCGCGGUAAUACGAAGGGUGCAAGCGUUAUCCGGAUUCAUUGGGUUUAAAGGGUGCGUAGGCGGAGCGUUAAGUCAGUGGUGAAAUCCUGCAGCUUAACUGUAGACUUGCCAUUGAUACUGGCGCUCUUGAGUGCGCUUGAAGUAGGCGGAAUGUGUCGUGUAGCGGUGAAAUGCUUAGAUAUGACACAGAACACCGAUUGCGAAGGCAGCUUACUAAGGCGAUACUGACGCUGAGGCACGAAAGCGUGGGGAUCGAACAGGAUUAGAUACCCUGGUAGUCCACGCCGUAAACGAUGAUCACUCGUCAUUGGCGAUAUACGGUCAGUGACCUA